GAUGAACGCUGGCGGCGUGCCUAAUACAUGCAAGUCGAGCGAACGGACGAGGAGCUUGCUCUUCUGACGUUAGCGGCGGACGGGUGAGUAACACGUGGAUAACCUACCUAUAAGACUGGGAUAACUUCGGGAAACCGGAGCUAAUACCGGAUAAUAUAUUGAACCGCAUGGUUCAAUAGUGAAAGACGGUUUUGCUGUCACUUAUAGAUGGAUCCGCGCCGCAUUAGCUAGUUGGUAAGGUAACGGCUUACCAAGGCAACGAUGCGUAGCCGACCUGAGAGGGUGAUCGGCCACACUGGAACUGAGACACGGUCCAGACUCCUACGGGAGGCAGCAGUAGGGAAUCUUCCGCAAUGGGCGAAAGCCUGACGGAGCAACGCCGCGUGAGUGAUGAAGGUCUUCGGAUCGUAAAACUCUGUUAUUAGGGAAGAACAAAUGUGUAAGUAACUAUGCACGUCUUGACGGUACCUAAUCAGAAAGCCACGGCUAACUACGUG
rnacentral:rRNA from 1 species